rnacentral:misc_RNA from 1 species
AACAGAAGCACCACAGCCGUUACUCACUCCAGUAGUAAGAUGAUAACCACUUAGUUCGAUGGGUUCGUCCAAAAUGCGAGCGAUACAGGUUGUCGUUGGAAUCAUUCUAAAUGCGAAACGACAUAAUGCAGCCACACGUUAAGACACGUUAGAAUCUUUUUAGAAAAGAAAUGCAUCGCGCGUUACGCACCGGAAUGAUUCGGUGAUACAUGCGCGCAGAUACUUGGCGCGCCGUAAAUCAUCGAUCGUCAAAUCGCAGCCAGGCGGUGCCAAUGAAUAGGUCUCUUCGUAAAGUUUAGCUUGUACAUCUGGAUUACGGCCGAUCAAAUAGAAUAGAAACACCAAGGUGUUUCCUAACUGUGCACAACCAUGAGACGAUAUCGAUAUUUGGAUCCAGACUGCGACCGAGGCCUUCGAUCACUACCAUACUGAGAAUCACGCUGCUGAAGGUUCCGUCUUGCUUCACACGAUGCCGAACCAUCGCGGAAAACAAUUCAGUCACAACGGUACUCACGUCUACCUGUAACAUUUUCAAACGUUCCUCUGAAAGGGUUUUGAUCGAUUUCGACCAUUAUUUCUCGCGUUAUACGCUCGUGUCUUUGAAAAUGUUUGAAGAUUACAUUGACUCUACUUCGAAGAUGCGAGUUUACGAUAUCUUUCAUUGUAUUCUUAAAACCGUCUGGGUCGGGGGAUACGCGCGAACUAUGUUCCAGAAUGUAUUCCGCUGCCAUUUCACCCUGAAAUAAAUAAAUGAAGAAGUGAAUGGAAAAAAAGUAAAGGUAUAAAAAGAGGGUAAAAGUAAGAAAUAUAUGUAGGUACGUUUCCCAUGAGCACCGAUCGGAAGACAUUCUUAAGAUUUUGUCGACAGCGGUCGUUCAGAGACACUACCAAACCACAAUCGAGUAUGACCAAGCGUGGAUAAGUCG